UAAUAUCUCAUUAAUAUAUGUGUAUCUUCGCUGUUUUCAUUGAUAUCGUUUUCGUAACGAUGAUUCGAUUUUUGAAUGAUCUUUCAUUGCGUUAACAUGGAUCGAUUUAUUACAACUUCCAUCGCGUGCUAAAAGGAGAAAUCCUCGAUUCAACGAACGUACAAUCUCGUAAUUUAGUUUAAUGUUCCCGUGGAUUGCGCGAACAAGUUGCGAUAGGUCAAUCGAUGUCGCAAGGCUAGUCACGUAUUCCUCCUUUGUGACGAAUAUCGAGAUAUGAUAUAUUACGAGAACAUCUUUUAUGAGAUAGUUCUGCUAUCUUCGAUUCCUUCUCUUUUAUCGCAUGUAACUCGAAGGUAAAUCGAUAAAGAACUAUAUCGCGUUACGUCGGCGAAGCGUAUAUAAUUCCGAAAGCGGAACGGGAGGAGGAAGUAAUACCGCACCGCUCUGCACCGUACCGCACCGCGCAUCGCUCGUGAAGAAACAAAAAGACGGAUUCGUACUUUAUGCAUGAAAGAGAAGUCUAUGCGUCGAGCGAAGGGACGAACAAGGACAAGGAGAGAGGCUCACUGCAUAACGAACAUAGUCGACUCAGUAGUGGUGGCCAGAAAAUGGCCGCCACGACGCAAACAAAUGAGCAAGUCUGACCAUUCCCAUGGCAACAAUCUCAAUCAGAUAGGAACUAGCGGAGCAGAGAACAGAGAACGCGCUGGAUAAUAUAUUCGAUACAGGUUAUUUGUGCUUAAUACUACCUUCGUCAUCGAUGACUCGCAGAGUUGGCAGUAAAUCGAAGGAGGGAGAACGAACAGUACGAGAAACCGGUUAUCAUUGUUACAGCGUCGUCGCUACCACGAGUCACGGUCGACUACGAAUAUUCGAAAUGCCAACAUCGUCACGGGCUUAACCCUUUAUUGUGAUAACAUACAAACAUAUUAUUAUUUCGCAAAAAAACUUUCUCUCAUUUAUUUAAAUCAGUCAAAUCUAAAAAUAAGACAGAGCACAGUUUGAGUGGAGAUAGAAGAUCAAAUCAGACUUACGAUCAAAUCCGUCCUUCAUACGAAGACAAACAGUUUGUCUAUUUUAAGGCCGAAUGAAAUAUUUAUGAAGUAUAAAGCAGUCAACGUCAGAAUAGUCCGUAACGCCGGAUAAAACACUAUCGCCUGAUGAAAUCUGAGAUUAUUGUAAUGCUUGGCAUUGAUUUUUUUUACCGUUGAAAUUAAUAAUUAAUUGUAUUAAUUAUUGUGCUCUAUAAUGUAGAGUACCAUCGCUAGAUUGAAGUUUACAACGUGCAAUUAUAAUUAAACUAGCAUGAGCUACUAGUCAACAAUCCUACAUGAAACGUUUCCCAGUAUUUGAUGAUGUAUACAUGUAACGGUAGAUUGCGAUUUUGAGGUCAAAUGUCAGACUUGGAUCCACAUAACCCGUUAAGGUAUCUGUAUAUUUAAAAAAAAUGUUAUUAUCUAUUGUGUGUUUUCAUAAAGCAUCUGUUUAUGUAAUAUGCAAUUUGUUACAAGAAAAAAUAUUUUUAAAUAAAUUAAUUAAUAGUUA
rnacentral:lncRNA from 13 species